AGCGAACGCUGGCGGCAGGCCUAACACAUGCAAGUCGAACGAACUCUUCGGAGUUAGUGGCGGACGGGUGAGUAACACGUGGGAACGUGCCUUUUGGUUCGGAAUAACUCAGGGAAACUUGUGCUAAUACCGAAUGUGCCCUUCGGGGGAAAGAUUUAUCGCCAUUAGAGCGGCCCGCGUCUGAUUAGCUAGUUGGUGAGGUAACGGCUCACCAAGGCGAAGAUCAGUAGCUGGUCUGAGAGGAUGACCAGCCACACUGGGACUGAGACACGGCCGAGACUCCUACGGGAGGCAGCAGUGGGGAAUCUUGCGCAAUGGGCGAAAGCCUGACGCAGCCAUGCCGAGUGAAUGAUGAAGGUCUUAGGAUUGUAAAAUUCUUUCACCGGGGACGAUCAUGACGGUACCCGGAGAAGAAGCCCCGGCUAACUUCGUG
rnacentral:rRNA from 1 species